AGAGAUACUACGGGAUGGGAUGCAGUGAGAAUGCCACUGUGGCAGACUUCAAGGAAUCCGUCUACAGAUGAGAAUUGAUGCUCAAUAUCAAAUAACAUAUCUUUUUUAAAGGAGCUUUCAUCCAGCUGCUUUGCAGGAAUGGAAAUGAUUCGUGCCUACAAGAAUCAGCCAUCUGAGAAUCCAUGAACAACAUUUAAACUCAGGUGCUUCUAUGGAUGCUCCGGACAGUGUGGCCAUGGAUCCUGCCUUUCUUAUUGUGUCACAGCUUUUUCAUUGGUUAUAAUGUUGAUGGGAUAUCUAGAUACAAUCAACUUUUCAAUGUAUCUAAUAGAGCACUGUGGCUGUAUAUUUCUGUGUUAUGUGCAUCCAACCCUGUAGACACUGCACUAAUUCUGUCAUUCUAUCAUUCUAUGUACCUGUGCCUCCCUCCUGUCUCCUGCUGUCUCCCUCCUGUCCUGUCCCCUCCCCUCGGCCCGUAGUAAGCACAUCUGUCAGCUCUGCUCACUCUCACGCACUCACUGCGGUCCUGCUCACCUCGGUGAACAUUCAACGCUGUCGGUGAGUUUGGUAUGGAUCACAUAAAAACCAUCGACCGUUGACUGUGCCCCGCGGCCUGCCCUGACCACUUCAGAGUAGAGUUGAAGAAUUGGGGUGGUUACGAUGGACGAAAACCUGGAGGGAGGUGAAUGUGUACAAACACACACAUGCCACAGGCUGCCUUUCUUUCUUUGACUACAAGUAUGCACGCACACCACACUCACACACACAGUCUUUUUUUCUCCCCGUCUCGUCCCCCAGUCCAGCCCCUCCAAAGGCCUCUCAACUCCAAAGGUCACAAUCAACAUUCAUUGCUGUCGCUGGGUUGGACUCUGUGAAAAAGCUCACUGAACAAUGAGUGCAACUGUGGCCCAGUUUUUCCCUGACUAACAUCGGAUGGAACAUCUCUGCCAGAUCAUCCUGGAUGCACCACAUUCUGAUUUCUUAAUUUAUUUUAUGUCUUGUUUUCCCUUUUCUCUCUCUUUCCAUCUCUUCUCUCUCACCCUGGCUCUGGAUGUCUUCAGGGGGGAGAGGGAGAGACUUAAAUAGAGUCUUUGUCUGGGACUGCACCCUCAUCCUCAUCUUCCUCUCCUCUAAUUGGUGGUUGUGUGUGCAGUGAGGGGGAAGGAAGCCGAGUGAAUGUGUAAUCAUCUGGAGUAUCUUCUUCUUUAGCUAUUUCAUCCUCUCUUUGUGUGUGUGUUGUUGGUGUGUGUGUGUGUGUGUGUGUGUGUGUGUGUGUGUGUGUGUGUGUGUGUGUGUGUGUGUGUGUGUG